UGCCAGCAGCCGCGGUAACACGAACUGCGCGAACGUUAUUCGGAAUCACUGGGCUUAAAGAGUCCGUAGGCGGCCUGGAGGGUGGGGUGUGAAAUCCCACAGCUCAACUGUGGAACUGCGCUUCAAACCGCCAGGCUAGAGGGAGUCAGGGGUGAGCGGAACUGAUGGUGGAGCGGUGAAAUGCGUUGAUAUCAUCAGGAACACCGGUGGCGAAGGCGGCUCACUGGGGCUCUUCUGACGCUGAGGGACGAAAGCUAGGGGAGCGAACGGGAUUAGAUA
rnacentral:rRNA from 1 species